CUCCUAUCUAUGUGACGAAAAAGCGUUGAAUGAGAUCAUAAUGAUGGCGUAUUGGUAGCAUAGCGUCUGUAUUCCAAUCUAAUGCAGUUUAUAUACAAACAAAAAUAGGUACUAUCGGAUUUGACAGCGGCCGUUAGCGGAACACGCGUACAGCCGCUAUGCGAAACUCGGUAGAAUGCAGCGGAAUAAUUACCUCGGCUGUAUCCGUCAAAAACCGAUCGUAGUCGAGUGACAACACCAUUUCCGGAAAAACACUGUACGACAAAAUGGCGGACGAAACCAAACAAGUGACAAGGUUCGUGAGUGGUUCCAGGCGUGUGAUGACCCAGGGAUAUCAGCUAUUGACGGAUGCAGGAUGAUACAUAAAGGUAUAUAGGUUCAAGAAAUUCCUUCUGUCACUGGCUGAUUUUUCCACCUUCCCUCCAGUGGGUUUACAUGUCAACACGUCCAAGAUCUGUGGGGAGAGCAUUGUAACACAAGAUCCAACCAGGUAA